UAAAUGACUCUCGGCAACGGAUAUCCCGGCUCUCGCAUCGAUGAAGAACGUAGCGAAAUGCGAUACUUGGUGUGAAUUGCAGAAUCCCGUGAACCAUUGAGUCUUUGAACGCAAGUUGCGCCCGAAGCCAUUAGGCUAAGGGCACGUCUGCCUGGGUGUCACG
rnacentral:rRNA from 1 species